CGUGCUAAUCUGCGAUAAGCGCCGGUAAGGUGAUAUGAACCGUUAUAACCGGCGAUACCCGAAUGGGGAAACCCAGUGUGACUCGUCACACUAUCAUUAACUGAAUCCAUAGGUUAAUGAGGCGAACCGGGGGAACUGAAACAUCUAAGUACCCCGAGGAAAAGAAAUCAACCGAGAUUCCCCCAGUAGCGGCGAGCGAACGGGGAGGAGCCCAGAGCCUGAAUCAGCAUGUGUGUUAGUGGAAGCGUCUGGAAAGGCGCGCGAUACAGGGUGACAGCCCCGUACACAAAAGCGCAUGUGCUGUGAGCUCGAUGAGUAGGGCGGGACACGUGGUAUCCUGUCUGAAUAUGGGGGGACCAUCCUCCAAGGCUAAAUACUCCUGACUGACCGAUAGUGAACCAGUACCGUGAGGGAAAGGCGAAAAGAACCCCGGCGAGGGGAGUGAAAAAGAACCUGAAACCGUGU
rnacentral:rRNA from 2 species